UCUGUGUGGGAUGACCCACUUGCUCAACGGAUGGACGUAUGGCCCUCACAGUUUCCAUCUCAUGGUUGCUGUCACAGUCUUCAAGAUCCUAACCGCUUUGGUCUCCUCUGCCACCGCUAUCACUCUCUUCAGCUUGAUCCCUUUGCUUCUCAAGGUCAAAGUGAGGGAAUUCAUGUUAAAGAAGAAAACUUGGGAUCUGGGUAGGGAAGUUGGAAUGAUUAUGAAGCAAAGAGAAGCUGGAUUGCAUGUUCGAAUGCUUACUCAGGAGAUUAGGAAAUCGCUUGACAGGCACACCAUAUUGUACACGACACUUGUUGAGCUGUCCAAGACGCUUGGUUUGCAGAAUUGUGCUGUUUGGAUGCCUAAUGAGAUUAGGACUCAGAUGCACUUGACUCAUGAGCUCCACGGGGGACAUUACUCCGACAUGGAUAGCUGUUCGAUACCGACAUCUGAUCCUGAUGUUGCGACGAUCAAGGGCAGCGAUAGUGUGAACAUCCUCGGUUUCGAUUCGCCUUUAGCUUCCGCGAGCUAUGGCGAGUCUGGUGAGCCGGGUCCGGUGGCUGCGAUCCGAAUGCCUAUGCUUCGUGUUUGCAAUUUCAAAGGUGGAACCCCUGAAAUGAUCCAGGCGUGCUAUGCGAUAC
rnacentral:lncRNA from 1 species